rnacentral:rRNA from 1 species
UACGUAGGUGGCAAGCGUUGUCCGGAAUUAUUGGGCGUAAAGCGCGCGCAGGCGGUCCUUUAAGUCUGAUGUGAAAUCUCGCGGCUCAACCGCGAGCGGUCAUUGGAAACUGGGGGACUUGAGUGCAGAAGAGGAAAGCGGAAUUCCACGUGUAGCGGUGAAAUGCGUAGAUAUCGGGAGGAACACCAGUGGCGAAGGCGACUUCCUGGCCUGUUCUUGACGCUGAGGCGCGAAAGCUAGGGGAGCAAACGGG